AUACCCAGAAAGAUUUGUCCCUGAAACGGUGCAUGCUUGGUUGUGGGGUUCAUUAGGGACCACAAACCACAUAAAGAAGGUUGCCCAAAGGGUAAGUGAAACCGAAGCUAAUCCAUAGCCCCAUAGCAGAAUAACAGAACAUUCUCUCUCACCAGCAUCAAAUUAUUGGGUUAUUGUUCCUGUCAAUUUCAUGAAAAGUUCAAAUCAGAACUGAGGAAGAACAUGAUUUAAAAUUUAA